ACCAUCUUACUCUUAAAAAUGAGCUAUUUCAGUUGACAAAAUACUGGGGCUAGCCAUGACUUUUAGCUCAACUCCUUUCCUUUAUGACAUAGACGUGAGACUAGCUUUCCUCCCUUCAGUAAUGUGAAGCAUUGAGCACACAUAUCACCAGGCAAACCAAAGCCAUUUUCUCUUUUCUGAAGAAAUUGGCAACGUUCCCGAUUGACUUUAGGAAUGAAAUCCAGAAGUUACACUGGCUCAGAGACCACUUUCUUCCUUCAUCUGCAAUUGGAAUCUGUCCUUUGACUCAUGCUUCUGCUCUGAUGGACAGGUCAAUUUUUCGUAUGGACACAGCUGCUCUGUUUCAGGCUUCUGGAUUGGCCUUGGAAAAACGGGUAAUCUACUUCUCCUAACACCAGAUAAAGAAAGAAAUCUUUGAAUCUAGCUGCUGGUAGCUUGAAAAAGAAGAUUGAAGGCAUAUAUCACCUCUGGAUCUGUUAGGACAGUAAUCUACUGAAGAUCCUGGCCUUUUGAUUGGACUUCUCAUGUAAGAUUUGGCUAUGGGGAAAAUCAUUGUUUAGCUUAGAAAGUUAGUUUUAGAUAGUUUAUAGACAUUCGAUUUUAAGAUAACUAGUAUAAUUUUUUUUCUAAACUCCCAUUUGUUCCUCCCCUUCCCAACCAAUAAAUCUGAAUUAUUUAUAUGUUCCCUCUUGUUC
rnacentral:lncRNA from 1 species